CUGGGCUUCGUCGCCCGGGUUCACGAGACCGCCACUCAGGGUCUCCCUCAGCUGGGGACUCUGGGAAGAAAGCGAGCCUGGAGUGGGGUCCCCAAAGAGGACUGCCCAGACAAUCAAGAUGGCAAAGAUCCUCAUCCUUUCAGCUUCCCAAGAAUCAGCAAAGCCCAAGUCUCAGGAGAGACAGCUGGUCAAACCUGGUUUGGACUGGAGUUGGAGGCACCCAGUGACCAAUCCUGGCAUCCUUUCUCCAAGAAAUCUUCCUGGAGCCUCAGGAAGGUAAUGCAAUCCUACAGAAGCCAUUACUGUAGAAGGGAGCCUCACAGAUAGGGCCCCUCACAAGCGAGGUCGCCAUCUUGCAGACCCUGAGCGAGCAACACUAAGCUCAAGUUUGGGCUGAAGGGAGUCUCAUAAUUCGACCCUCUCUCAGGCACUACUUGACCAGGUGUGCUCUCAUCCUCCACCCCUGCCACAAUUCCAUUCCCAUUAUUUGAAGCAGGCCAGCCUCCAGAAAGUGCCCCUACCCCCGCCCCCCCCCCCCCCCACAAAACUUAGGAAGAGAGUAGACACCCUAGCCCAAGCAGAGCAGGAUCCAGAGUGAGCUGCAAGGAGUUCAAGGAGGAAUCCAAACAUCCACUCUCUGCAUGAGGCUUCAUGCCGUUUCCCUCUAAAUAGGAUUGAGAAAUCUUUUUUUUCACAGCCGCUCACCCUUCCUAUCACCCUGGCCUUUCCACCUACUUUGAUCACACUGAACUGGCUAUAUUUGCUCUGCCCGUCCCAGACCCCAGCAGGG
rnacentral:lncRNA from 1 species